rnacentral:misc_RNA from 1 species
GAAAUAACACUUGUUUACUCGCUGAAAUUUGAAUUUCUUCACCGGUUUGUGGAUUGCGACCAGUUCUUGCGGAUCGGCUUUUUACUGUAAAAGAACCAAAUCCAACCAGAUUUAAAUUUUCACCACGCGCAAGAGCAUUUGUAAUUU